rnacentral:sRNA from 1 species
UCUCUCCCAAGAAGAAGAAGAAACUCAGCAUAAACAAGAAGGAU